rnacentral:misc_RNA from 1 species
GUGAAUCAUCGAAUCUUUGAACGCAAAUUGCACUCUCUGGUAUUCCGGAGAGUAUGCCUGUUUGAGGGUCAGUUUAAAUAAAAAUCGGUGUGGUUGCUGCCUUUCGUGGUGACGCACCGGAUUUGGGUCGUCUGGCUUUCGUUUAGGGACCUAAAAUUUUGCCAUGAUUUUUUUGGAAGUUAUAUAUGUGUUUUUAUAUG